GAUGAACGCUGGCGGCGUGCCUAAUACAUGCAAGUCGAGCGAACAGACGAGGAGCUUGCUCCUUCGACGUUAGCGGCGGACGGGUGAGUAACACGUAGGUAACCUACCUAUAAGACUGGGAUAACUUCGGGAAACCGGAGCUAAUACCGGAUAAUAUUUCGAACCGCAUGGUUCGAUAGUGAAAGAUGGCUUUGCUAUCACUUAUAGAUGGACCUGCGCCGUAUUAGCUAGUUGGUGAGGUAACGGCUUACCAAGGCAACGAUACGUAGCCGACCUGAGAGGGUGAUCGGCCACACUGGAACUGAGACACGGUCCAGACUCCUACGGGAGGCAGCAGUAGGGAAUCUUCCGCAAUGGGCGAAAGCCUGACGGAGCAACGCCGCGUGAGUGAUGAAGGUCUUCGGAUCGUAAAACUCUGUUAUUAGGGAAGAACAAACGUGUAAGUAACUGUGCACGUCUUGACGGUACCUAAUCAGAAAGCCACGGCUAACUACGUG
rnacentral:rRNA from 1 species